AACGAGCGCUGGCGGCAUGCCUAAUACAUGCAAGUCGAACGAGACCUUCGGGUCUAGUGUCUCACGGGUUCGUAACGCGUGGGAACCUGCCCUUAGGUUCGGAAUAACUCCCCGAAAGGGGUGCUAAUACCGGAUAAUGUCUUCGGACCAAAGAUUUAUCGCCUUUGGAUGGGCCCGCGUUGUAUUAGCUAGUUGGUAGGGUAAAAGCCUACCAAGGCGACUAUCCAUAGCUGGUUUGAGUGGAUGAUCAGCCACACUGGGACUGAGACACGGCCCAGACUCCUACGGGAGGCAGCAGUGGGGAAUAUUGGACAAUGGGCGAAAGCCUGAUCCAGCAAUGCCGCGUGAGUGAUGAAGGCCUGAGGGUUGUAAAGCUCUUUUACCCGAGAUGAUAAUGACAGUACCGGGAGAAUAAGCUCCGGCUAACUCCGUG
rnacentral:rRNA from 1 species